CUCCCGGCUGCUCACAGGUCGUGCACCAGCCCACAUCUCCUGCAAGGGAAGUUAAUCUCCACACAGCAGCCUAAGUGCCAGACGAGCCCUCUCCUUCCACUGCCCUGGACGUCGCUAAAAUGAACGGUGCAGAAAAUCACUCCCGGGAUCUGAAAACUCAUCUUUUUCUGCUGCAAUGUGUCUUCUGGUGCCUCCGUGCUCUCCCUCCCAGGGCAGAAGUAGAAAGAGCAUUUCGUAGCCCGACAGCACAGGAAGCAGGGAAGUUCCCUGAAGUGUACUGCAAACCUAACACCCCAGCCCCGGCUUUCAUCACCACCUGGAAGACCAGCCUUUGAAGAGAAACAGAAACCCACUCUUAACCCCUGAGAGCCUGGGCUUCCACUGAGAGAACAUGCUGUGGCCUCCCACUCACUGGUCCCUUGAGGGGUGUGAAGCCCGAAAUGGGUCAGUGAUGAGCCGAAAGCCCCACAGCAUCGCGCGGGGAGCCGAGACUCUCCCGGAAGUCCAGGAAUCUGAAACCCCAAUGCCUGUGGGAGGCAGACAGAUCUGGGGACAUGCCCAGGAGAAACCCACACACAUGGCCCACGCGUGUGCAAGAUGUUCAUGGCAGCGUCGUCGGUGACGGUGACGGCAUUGCUGACCUACUCAUGGGCUGGCCUGGGAGGAACUUUAUACCUCGUGGGACAGUCACAGAAGAGAAAACUCGACCACAGUUAAAAAUAAAUAAAUCCAACCCUCUAUAUGUUCACGCAGGACUGGUGGUGCCCAGUGCACAGCAGGGGCUCAGGACUGAGGCCACCUCACAUACCACAAUGAGGAAGCCAGCAUCAGACCAGAACUGACUGCAGUCAGAUGCUACGAACUUCAAGUCCCUGUGAACCUCAACAUCAUUUAUCCACUUGGUGUGAAAUCCUUGCAGUAAGAAGGAAUUAGAGGAAUUGGAGGCUUUCGAGGAUAGCUGGAGGCUGCCCAAAGAGGAGUGGAGAAGCUGCUCAGGUGGUUUCAGGAGUUUAUCUGGGGAACAAAGAACGCG